GAUGAACGCUGGCGGCGUGCCUAAUACAUGCAAGUCGAGCGAACAGACGAGGAGCUUGCUCCUCUGACGUUAGCGGCGGACGGGUGAGUAACACGUGGAUAACCUACCUAUAAGACUGGGAUAACUUCGGGAAACCGGAGCUAAUACCGGAUAAUAUAUUGAACCGCAUGGUUCAAUAGUGAAAGACGGUUUUGCUGUCACUUAUAGAUGGAUCCGCGCCGCAUUAGCUAGUUGGUAAGGUAACGGCUUACCAAGGCAACGAUGCGUAGCCGACCUGAGAGGGUGAUCGGCCACACUGGAACUGAGACACGGUCCAGACUCCUACGGGAGGCAGCAGUAGGGAAUCUUCCGCAAUGGGCGAAAGCCUGACGGAGCAACGCCGCGUGAGUGAUGAAGGUCUUCGGAUCGUAAAGCUCUGUUAUUAGGGAGGAACAAAUGUGUGAGUAACUAUGCACGUCUUGACGGUACCUAAUCAGAAAGCCACGGCUAACUACGUG
rnacentral:rRNA from 1 species